GUCUGCACUCAGGCAAACCAAUCACCUUCUUGUCCAACAGGUUAUCCAGCAUGGCAACCACAUCAGAGUCGGGGAAUGGAUAAGUCUUCUCCUCAAGCUCCUUCAAAGUGCGUCUACGCAUCUCUUGAUCAUGAAAAGCUUCGGUUUGAAUCGCCUUGCCUCGUGUGGAGAUUUUGACGGGAGAUGUGUUUACCGUCAUCGCUUCCUUGGUGGGUUUCCAUGCAGCCUUCUCCACCUUUGUCUCAAGAACUUUGUCGUUCUUGUAGUCGGCGAUCGGUUCCUUCUUCCC
rnacentral:lncRNA from 1 species